UUAACCUUUAUAGUGCCACGGGUCUGUCCUUGGCGGCCGUGCCACCAGGAACCGAAGCCUUUCCAGCGCCUUGCAUUGUUUUGCUUCCAUUGAGAGGACAAAGCAACUGAUUGAUAUAGUAACAAAGCCUGUUGGAGUGUCGCAAACCAUUAGUUGCAGGAGCUACCCCAGUACAUAGUUGUAUAUUCUAGUUGUAGGUCCUUCUGGCUGUGCUACGUAGGACACUGCCUCAGCAUGGCCUGAUUAGUGGUUCCAGGUCCGCGCCCGGGAUCCAAACCAGUGAAACCCUGGGCUGCCGAAGCAGAGCGUGCGAACUUAACCACUUGGCCACAAGUGAACGACAAAGAUUUUGUAGAUACAAGUUAUUUUCCAUCAAGCUUAUGAAUAACACCACUUGGCAGAAGACCCUGAACAAAGAACCAGACUGCGAUGUUUUGUAGUGACUUUACAUACAGUGUGCCUUAAUUACUGGCAAGCCUGUCAAGAGCUUAUUCCCACAUGUGUCAACACUUUCUUAAUACACCAUAAUUCAUCAUGUUAGCAUGGCAGAAACAAGGUACUCUCCGUCCUUACACUCAUCCUUCUCCAAGUGCUGGUCUUGAACUGUGUAUCCCACUGCAGCAUCUUCAUCUGAUGGACAAAGAACAGACUAUAGCAUUGAAACAGGAAAGUCCCUGGAGUCCGUCAAAGUCGUCCAUCACUGAGCACUUAGCCUGCACUCCGUAGCACUCUACAUCCAAGACGCACUGCUUCAUUGUCAAAAGGACGUUCGCUUAACAACGGCCGUAAAUCCUGAAAGGCAGUCGAAUUUUAGACAGAAAACUUGGCUAAGAGGGAAUCCUAUCACUUACCGCUUUUGACAAUUUUAUUCAUUGAGUUCAUUUUCAUGCUAGUUGCGUGACUAAAUUAAGUCCAUUGCAGGUCAGGCAACCCUCAAGAGCAAUUCUCCUCCAGGCAGAGGCUCUGGGGUCCAGGUUCCCUCCAUCAUCUGAUACCGCCAUCGCAACACAUGGAUGCAUUGGCACAAAGGGAGGCUUUCUGAAAACUGUGCUCAGAAGACAUGGCAUGAAUAAAGAGGAUUCCGUUGACAAGACUAGUCUUCCACUUAGGCAGUAGAAGGAACUGAAGGAUGAUCUUUAUGUUUCCUGCAACAGAAGAUGGUAGAGUCAUUCACUUAUGAGGAAAAACUACAUCUGUGAUUUCCAGCUGAGCCAAACAGACAAUGGAGCCUAUUGACACAGAAGGUUCAACAGCUCAGCAGAAAGAAGACCAAAGUUUUUGACUGGGACAAUACACACAUAUACACAUACAGGAAAAGCAAGAUGGUACAGUGGACAAAGUUUCAGGGUUCCUGUUGAGCUGGGGUUCCAACUCUGAAAAGCUGAACUAGUCAUUUAACCUCAUCAAGUCCGUCUCCUCGUCUGUAAAAUGAGAGUAAUAGUAGUAUCCUUUUAUGAUCCGUAGGAUUGAAAUAUUCUUAUAAUAAAUGUCAAAAUGCUUUCCCAAUUAUAAAGUGCUAAAAGAUAAAGAUACUAUUAUUAUUAUAAUACCGUCACUGCCAUAUAUGAAUUUAUCUAAGACAAUAAAGAUUCAUUUACUGUUAAUACCAGCAUUUGCACACACACACACACACACAUAUACACACACGUGAGUAUUGUUAAAUAUACCGUAAGGUUUCCAUUUUUGGCUAAAGUAUUCAAUCUUUUUUACAAAUAUUCUUUCUCUCCUCACUUUAGAAGACAGGAGGACAAGAGGAACUUUAAAAAUAGGUAAAGGAAAGCAUAAUAACUGUCUUCUUUGUCUUAAGUUUAUCCAGCCACCCAUGCCUGAUAGUGAAUGCUCUGGGCAUGAAUACACUUUUGAGACCAUAAAGAAUUACUUUAACUUUACUUUAGCCUUUUAUCCAGGGGAAUAAGAAUAUUUAAUGUUCAGGUCUACAAUAAUCAUUUCUCUGAAAAUAACAUUUUUCUGCUUAUUCAGACUUCCUCCUCAUGCUUCUGGUGUCUUUUUGGCAUCGAACAGACAUCUGGAAACUCCAAACCUUCCAGAAUCUUGUCUUCUCCCUUGGGAAUUCAUGAUUGGACUCUUGACCUUUGACCUUCUCCAUACUGCUCUCAUGGAGAGCCCUCAUCUGAUGGUCCUGGUGCAAGAGGGGAGAGAUAUUUAUAGAAGAUCAAGUUAUUGUUCAGGCUUGUGUCUCUAUGUUUAAACACUGGAUUUCUGCCUCCAAAUUAGUAGUUUACUAUGUUUUCUUAAGUGCUGGAAAUUUAUGGAGUUAUCAUAGUUGAAUUCUUGUUCCUAAAACAAAAACAAAAGAAAAUACCACUUACUGAUUUAUUUCUAUUUUUAUGUCUUUGGAUGGCUUGUAUUGCCUUGUAGUAGCAAGCAAGAGUGUUACAAAAUUGUUUUCCCCAGAAUCUGAUUCUUUUUGGAGGGGUACUCCAUGUAUAUUCUUCAGUAAUGAUGCUGUCCUCACACCCAAGAAAUCACUAAUAGAAAGGGUGGUGUUUACGUUGUUAAGCUAUUAGCCAUUUCUUUGACUUUUUAAUAUUUUGUCUGACAAUUGAGAUAAUUAGCAAAAUGUGAAAUCUUUAUGUGUGCUGAUGAUUACCUAGGAGACUUAGAAAAUAUUUCAAAUCAUUUAAAACCAGGAAGAACUGUGGAGGCGAUGGGGUUGCUGAAGCUAAUUCACAGUAUCAUAAAAGCUCAAGUUAAAAGGCACUAUGGCCCCAUGGAGAAGAAUUCCAAAUAAUUUAUGUAGAUAUUCUACCCUCCCCCUCCUCCAAGGAGAGGGAGCAUAACACCCAUUCCUUAGGUGUGAGCUGCACAUAGUGACUUCCUUGCAAAGUGUACAGCAUGGAAAUGGAGGGUGGAAAGGGGAAGGAAGAGAAACUUUAAAGUGGAGAAACCUGACAACUACUGCCUCAGCCAAGUGAUCAAGGCCAACGUUGACUGUCAUAAAUCAUAUUGACAGUGUAUAUCCUUGAAAUGAUGUGAUGAAGAUGGCGCCUUACCUCUGUAGUCUUCCUCUUAAAAUCCCAUAGCCCCAGUCUUAUCUUGAGAAAAACCACACACAAAUUCCAAUAGUGGGGCAUCCUACAAAAUACCUGACCAGUACUCCUCGAAACUGUCGAGAUCAUCAAAAACAAGGCAUAUCUGAGAAACUGCCACAGCAAAGAGGAGCCUACAGGGACAGGACAACUAUAUGGGGGGUCCUGGACGGUAUUCUGGAACAGAAAAAGGGCAUUAGGUAAAAACUAAGGAAAUCUAAAUGGACCAUGAACUUUAGUUAUUAAUAAUGGUUAUUAAUAUUAAUAAUUGGUUCAUUAACUGUAACAAAUGUAUCAUACUAAUGUAAGAUGUUGAUGGAGGAACUGGAUGUGGGGCAUAUGGGAACUCUCUAUGUUAUCUUUCAAUUACUCUGUAAACCUAAAAUUACUCUAAAAAUAAAGUGUAUUUUAUCAAAAAAAAAAA
rnacentral:lncRNA from 1 species